rnacentral:rRNA from 1 species
GAUGAACGCUGGCGGCGUGCCUAAUACAUGCAAGUCGAGCGAAGCGGGGACGGGUGAGUAACACGUGGAUAACCUCCUAUAAGACUGGAAUAACUUCGGGAAACCGGAGCUAAACCGGAAACUUAUAGAUGGAUAUGCGCUUCAUUAGCUAGUUGGUAAGGUAACGGCUUACCAAGGCAACGAUGCAUAGCCGACCUGAGAGGGCGAUCGGCCACAAUGGAACAGAGGUACGGUCCAGACUCCUACGGGAGGCAGCAGUAGGGAAUCUUCCGCAAGGGGAGAAAGCCUGACGGAGCAACGCCGCGUGAGUGAUGAAGGUCGUAGGAUCGUAAAACUCUGUUAUUAGGGAAGCGGUACCUAAUCAGAAAGCCACGGCUAACUACGUGCCAGCAGCCGCGGUAAUAC